ACUGAACGCUGGCGGCAUGCCUUACACAUGCAAGUCGAACGGCAGCACGGGAGCUUGCUCCUGGUGGCGAGUGGCGAACGGGUGAGUAAUACAUCGGAACGUACCCUGAAGUGGGGGAUAACGUAGCGAAAGUUACGCUAAUACCGCAUAUUCUGUGAGCAGGAAAGAGGGGGAUCGCAAGACCUCUUGCUUUAGGAGCGGCCGAUGUCGGAUUAGCUAGUUGGUGAGGUAAAGGCUCACCAAGGCGACGAUCCGUAGCGGGUCUGAGAGGAUGAUCCGCCACACUGGGACUGAGACACGGCCCAGACUCCUACGGGAGGCAGCAGUGGGGAAUUUUGGACAAUGGGCGCAAGCCUGAUCCAGCCAUGCCGCGUGAGUGAAGAAGGCCUC
rnacentral:rRNA from 1 species